rnacentral:rRNA from 1 species
UAUUAUGCCAGGAAGCUGCCUUCGCCAUCGGUAUUCCUCCAGAUCUCUACGCAUUUCACCGCUACACCUGGAAUUCUACUUCCCUCUCACAUAUUCUAGCACCACCAGUAUCACAUGCAGUUCCCAGGUUAAGCCCGGGGAUUUCACAUGUGACUUAAUGAGCCACCUACACUCGCUUUACGCCCAGUAAUUCCGAUUAACGCUCGCACCCUCUGUAUUACCGCGGCUGCUGGCACAGAGUUAGCCGGUGCUUAUUCUGCAGGUAACGUCUAAUCUAAUGGGUAUUAACCAUUAGCCUCUCCUCCCUGCUUAAAGUGCUUUACAACCAAAAGGCCUUCUUCACACACGCGGCAUGGCUGGAUCAGGGUUGCCCCCAUUGUCCAAUAUUCCCCACUGCUGCCUCCCGUAGGAGUCCGGACCGUGUCUCAGUUCCGGUGUGACUGAUCAUCCUCUCAGACCAGUUACAGAUCGUCGCCUUGGUGGGCCUUUACCCCACCAACUAGCUAAUCUGAUUUAGGCUCAUCUAAUAGCAAGAGCUUGCGCCCCCUUUCACCCGUAGGUCGUAUGCGGUAUUAAUUCGAGUUUCCCCGAGCUAUCCCCCACUACUAGGCAGAUUCCUAAAUGUUACUCACCCGUCCGCCACUAAUCAUCUCUAGCAAGCUAGAGAGUCAUCGUUCGACUUGCAUGUGUUAAGCCUGCCGCCAGCGUUCAAUCUGAGCCAGGAUA